rnacentral:rRNA from 1 species
AGGACGAACGCUGGCGGCGUGCCUAACACAUGCAAGUCGAACGAGGUCCAUGUAGUGGCAACACUACGGAAGACCUAGUGGCGAACGGGUGAGUAACACGUGAGGAACCUACCCCGGAGACCGGGAUAACUCUUCAAAAGGAGAGCUAAUACCGGAUAUCCCCAUCGGACCGCAUGGUCUGAUGAGGAAAUGGAUUCCGCUCCGGGCGGGCCUCGCGGCCCAUCAGCUUGUUGGCGAGGUAACGGCUCACCAAGGCAUCGACGGGUAGCUGGUCUGAGAGGACGAUCAGCCACACUGGGACUGAGACACGGCCCAGACUCCUACGGGAGGCAGCAGUGGGGAAUCUUGCGCAAUGGGCGAAAGCCUGACGCAGCAACGCCGCGUGGGGGAUGAAGGCCUUCGGGUUGUAACCCUUUCAGUAGGGACGAAUUGACGGUACCUACAGAAGAAGCCCGGCUAACUACGUGCCAGCAGCCGC